rnacentral:rRNA from 1 species
UACGGAUCGUCCAAACGUUGCUCGGAUUUACUGGGUUUAAAGGGCGCGUAGGCGGUGCGCUAAGUCGGUGGUGAAAUACUUCGGCUCAACCGGAGAAUUGCCGCUGAAACUGGCGUGCUCGAGGGAGGUAGAGGUGCGUGGAACUUCCGGUGGAGCGGUGAAAUGCGUUGAUAUCGGAAGGAACACCUGUGGCGAAAGCGAUGCACUGGACCUCUUCUGACGCUGAGGCGCGAAAGCCAGGGGAGCGAACGGG